rnacentral:rRNA from 1 species
AUGGCGUACUGCUCAGUAACACAUGGAUAACCUGCCCUUGGGACCGGCAUAACCCCGGGAAACUGGGGAUAAUUCCGGAUACCGCAUAUAUGCUGGAAUGCUUUAUGCGUAAAAUGGAUUCGUCUGCCCAAGGAUGGGUCUGCGGCCUAUCAGGUAGUAGUGGGUGUAAUGUACCUACUAGCCAACGACGGGUACGGGUUGUGAGAGCAAGAGCCCGGAGAUGGAUUCUGAGACAUGAAUCCAGGCCCUACGGGGCGCAGCAGGCGCGAAAACUUUACAAUGCGGGAAACCGUGAUAAGGGGACACCGAGUGCCAGCAACAUUUGCUGGCUGUCCAGGUGUGUAAACUACACCUGUUAGCAAGGGCCGGGCAAGACCGGUGCCAGCCGCCGCGGUAACACCGGCGGCCCGAGUGGUGAUCGUGAUUAUUGGGUCUAAAGGGUCCGUAGCCGGUUUGGUCAGUCCUCCGGGAAAUCUGACGGCUCAACCGUUAGGCUUUCGGGGGAUACUGCCAGGCUUGGAACCGGGAGAGGUAAGAGGUACUACAGGGGUAGGAGUGAAAUCUUGUAAUCCCUGUGGGACCACCUGUGGCGAAGGCGUCUUACCAGAACGGGUUCGACGGUGAGGGACGAAAGCUGGGGGCACGAACCGGAUUAGAUACCCGGGUAGUCCCAGCCGUAAACGAUGCUCGCUAGGUGUCAGGCAUGGCGCGACCGUGUCUGGUGCCGCAGGGAAGCCGUGAAGCGAGCCACCUGUGAAGUACGGCCGCAAGGCUGAAACUUAAAGGAAUUGGCGGGGGAGCACAACAACGGGUGGAGCCUGCGGUUUAAUUGGACUCAACGCCGGACAACUCACCGGG